rnacentral:rRNA from 1 species
AGAGUUUGAUCCUGGCUCAGGACGAACGCUGGCGGCGUGCUUAACACAUGCAAGUCGAACGAUGAAGCCCAGCUUGCUGGGUGGAAGAGUGGCGAACGGGUGAGUAACACGUGAGUAACCUGCCCAUCACUCUGGGAUAAGCGCUGGAAACGGCGUCUAAUACUGGAUAUGAACAGCGACCGCAUGGUCAGUUGUUGGAAAGAUUUAUUGGUGAUGGAUGGACUCGCGGCCUAUCAGCUAGUUGGUGAGGUAAUGGCUCACCAAGGCGACGACGGGUAGCCGGCCUGAGAGGGUGACCGGCCACACUGGGACUGAGACACGGCCCAGACUCCUACGGGAGGCAGCAGUAAGGAAUAUUGCGCAAUGGGCGAAAGCCUGACGCAGCGACGCCGCGUGGGGGAUGAAGGUCUUCGGAUUGUAAACCCCUUUCGGGAGGGAAGAUGGAGCGAGCAAUCGUUCGGACGGUACCUCCAGAAGCAGCCACGGCCAACUUCGUGCCAGCAGCCGCGGUAAUA